AGAGAAUCCCUGGCGGGGAAAAAGGAGGUAUCAUCGCAUUCCUUUCUAUUAUUUCACAUGAAUUUUUAGAAGCAGUGAUUUUUAGAAUAAUUUUAUGAUUUUCGAUGAUAUCUCGUCAGUUUAACAACAAUAAUUGUACCCUAUCAACCGUUACCCUUCGUGAUGAUAGGCAGCUUAAAAUGGUUGACUGUUUGCGUUACAAAUUUUGGAAUAUCUUUUAGGAAGUGGAAAAAAAACGAAAAGAGAAAAAACUUGAAGUGGAAGUUGUCGUUGGGGGCAAGAAGAAGAUGCUGCCAUACCAGAAGAAAUUUGGUGCAAUGAAGCGCCAAAUCACAAAGCACUUUCAAAUCCAAAGAAAAUCCCCAUUCAUAAUGGUGAAUGGGGACAGGAAAAGAUUGAAGGAGAUAAGACCAGGGAUUACAAUAAUUGUCAAGUUCACAAAACCAAGUCACCAAAGACAUAACAAGACAAAACAAACCCCCCAAAGCGGGGCGAAAUACAUUUUUCAUGCCGGUAGCAGGCCGGUCUUUAACCGUUAAAUUUUUUUUGUUCAAUGUUUAGUUCAGUAGUUUGUUUAGAGAAUUUUUUUUUAUUUUAUAGAUUUGUUAUUUAUUGUAAAUUGUAUAUUAGCUUUUGGUUGUUGUGUUUGUUAAUUAAAUAUUUUAUAAAUUAUUGUUAGAACGAAAUUGUGGACAUUCAUGUUUUUUCGUCUUCCUUCUUAUAAUGAGCAUGUGGAAUAUUGCUGUUUCUGUCAUACAUUGAUUGAGAACUGUUUUAAAUGGUUCAUGCAAGUUCAAUGACCUCGUAUUAUAUCAAAAGGAAUAAAAUAUAAGUUCAAUGAGCCAUACAAGUUAAAUGGUUUAAUGGCUGGCUUUUACUGAUUACAACUUCUAUUGUUAACGUUCACAAAAAAUGGGAGUUUAUUUGCCCAUCCCAUGUUAGACAUCAAUAUACAUUGCACAAAAUGAAUGAUAUCAUUGGAGCAAAUGGAAUGGUAGUAAUGGUUUUGGUUUUACUUUACAAAUCGAUGUUUGAAUGAUGUUUCCAUUUUUUGUAAUGCAGUGUCGAAGAGGCCCGGCCCCUCAUUUUGUGUUUCAAUUUCUAGGAUUUAUUGUCAUAACUCUCAAACGGUCUUGAUUAUGUUAGGGGCCAAUGGCUCAUUUGCAAGGAUUUUUCAAAGGGGAAUUUUUUAGAUUGGGUGGGCUGUGAUGUGAUAGUGACGUCUUGAAUAGUCUUGAAUUUCAAGGAAUUUUUUUAAAUUAAUUGGUUCAAUGCAUGUUGCACAUCAAAAUGAAUAACACCAAAUAAAAGAUCUCACCAAAGCGAUUCAAACGGUGGUAACGGUUUUGGUUUCACUUCAGAAAUUGAUGUUUUUUAUGAUGUUUUGAAUUUUUUUAUAAUGCUUUGUCCAUGUGGCCCGGCCCUCCAUUAUACAUUGCAAUUUCUAGGCAUUCUUGUCAUAAAUCUCAAACGGUAUGGAGUAUGUUAGGGGCCAAAGGCUCAUUUUGAAGGGUUUUGCAAUUGGAAUUUUUUGGGUGAUUACCUUCUGGAUUGGGCGUGACUGUGAUAUCAUAGUGACGUCAUAGUUUUUAAUUGCCAGGUCUUUUGAAGGAUUAUUUUAUUGAAUAUAUGUUGCACAUCAAAUUGAAUUACACCAACUGAAAGAUCUCAUCGAAGCGAUCCGAAUGGUGGUAUUGGCUCUUCUGUAGCGUAAAGAAAUUAAAAACCUGGUAUUUUUAGUGGCGUUCCCAGCCCUUCAGACUCUUGGAAAACGCUGAAAACGCCUUUUUUAGUAUUUUUGAUUUAUUUUGAAAACUUACCGGGGCUCCUUUGCAAGAACAAAAAAUCAAAAUCGACCUGAUUAACCCAACCACAAAGGCUUUCCAACAGAUUUCGGGAAAAUAGAAAAUCAACCUCUUGGAAAACUGGGGGAGACAGGUCCUCCCCACACUGAGGCGUAACCACUGGGUAUUUUGUAAGUAGUUUUAGAAUAAAGUUUUGUGAUUUCCAGAUGAUCUUAAAGUGUCACUGAACUACUUUAGUGAAAAUUUUGACCAUGUGUUUUUUUUAUUUUAUCCAUUAAUUCAGAGCCGCUGAAUUGAAUAGUGCAAUUAUUUUUUGCGUGUCAUCUCUAUAACACCUUUUAAUUGAGCCCGAAAGUGUUGAUUUUUGUGAUCUUUAGUGCGAAAAAUCUACGCGGUCAGUCAGGAAUGCGUGACAUAAUCUGAUUUAUACAUCUGUCACGCACAUACGGGUUUAGUAUAAGUAUACCAAAAGCCGGGUGAAAUAGAAGUAAAGAAGAAGAAAAAUACAGGCCGGAAAGGAAGGUACUGUGUUGCUGGAGCACCUAACAAAACCAGCUGUACAAAUAAUAGUUAUACGCAUGGAGUAUCGAUGCAUAUUUUCCAAAGAAACCUGCAGCAAAGAAGGCAGUGGGUCUCUCUCGUUUGAAGGCAUAGAGCCGGCUUCACUCCAUCUGCUACUUUCGUGUUAUGCUCAAUUCAUUUCAAACUGCCUGACUUUGCGAGGAGAAUUGACAUUAUCAUUGGAAACCAAAGUGAAAACAUUAAAAGCCUAAGAAGGCUUGAAAUCGGAGGGAUUCCAUCAAUCGAUGCAGCUGGAACCCUUUCAGGAGCGCCGGAAAGCGAAAGGGAUAAACAGAAUGCAAGAAAGGUUCGUAGGGCCUAAUUUUUUUACAAUGGGUCUUUUCUUUUGGAGAUGUAUCAAAUUUUAAUUAUAGACACAUAUAAUUAUAGAUACAUAUGCACAAGAAAGGCUUAAGGGCUCCAAAUUAAGUUUAGGCUUUGAUUUAUACAAAAAGUAAUGGUCUUUCUUGUGACAUUUCUAAUGUCCUUGUAGCUGUUCUGUUCCAUGUUUCUUCAAUGCCUACUCCCAAAAUUACUUUUCAGGCUUUAAAACGAUAGCAAAGUCGCCUGACAUUGACCCCAAAACCAAAGGCACUGCCGAUCCCUUCAUCCUUGAAUCUGUUCAAUGCUCAAGAGAGGCUCAUUUAGACGAGUUUGUAGACACCCUAACCACAACAAAAAAAGCUAGCUGCCUUAAAUGUCCAGUUUUGUCAGCUAAGCUAGUUACAUGCCAGAAGAAGAACAGUAGGCUAAAGAAAGAGGUAAAGAUGCUGAUAAAGAGAGUACAUGAGUUGGAAAACCAGAAUGACGAUGUUAGUUUUUAAGGUUGCUGUCUAGUGCAUGACAUUUAAGGUUGCUGUUAGCGUUAAAUUUGAUGAUAAGAACUUUAAUAAAUUUAUAAAACAUAGAUUCCACACAGUGGUAAAGUUCUAGCAAAAUAACAAGGGGGGCUCUAAACUAUAUCUGAAUCUUACUAAGUAUAUCUGAACUACAAAAUUUUCACAGGCAAAUGAGGCAGGAACCAGCAAUGCCAUGGGGCUGCUUGGAGCAAAGAAAUGUUUUGCCAGUCUACAGAAAGAAAAAGUUGACAUAUCAACAUUUGUAUCAGACCGCCAUACUGGGAUUGCAAAGUGGAUAAGGAACAACCAGAAAGAUACCCAUCAUUAUUAUGACAUUUGGCAUGUGGCAAGGUCAAUUUGUAAAAGGAUUUCACAAGCUGCUAAAGAGAAAGGGUUGGACAGGCUGCAAUAUUGGGUCAAGGGAAUUCGAAGACAUUUGUAUUGGUGUGUGUUAUCGACAAGACAAGGCUUUGGUGCAAUGAUCACUGCUAAAUGGACAUCCAUUUUGAGGCAUAUUGCAAACAGGCAUGAUGGCCACGAUAAUCCGCUUUUCCAAAAUGCAAACAUGAUCAACUGGAGAAGAGAAAAUGGUUCAAAAUAGGUAUGUUUAUAGGUCCCUUUUUUAUCAACAGUACUGUGCCGGGGAAAUCAUUUAGCUUUGCUUUGAAAAAGUAUUUAUCAUAAUCAAUUAUAUUCCUGGGACACUAGCCUAUGAUAAACUUGACUCAAUUUUGAUGAAUACCAGAAACAAGCUGCCUUGAAGGGUUAUAAUUCCCUUUUAAACCAUUGGCAACCGAAGAUGUUAUGCUUUUCAUUCUUUGGCACAGAGUGCAGGUUUGACUUCUUAAAAACCCCUCUGCCUAAAAGCAUAAUUGCUGACUGUACCUGUAGAAACCAGAACUUUAAGCAUUUCUGAAAAUAUCUGACAAUAUUCAGCUUUUUUCAACUUCGAGGUAUAAAAUAAAAUUUAAACAAUUGCAUCUGCAGUGUAUUUGAGAAGCAAUUGCAUUUUUAUGGUACUUUUUCUAUAUCUCUCUCUUACGAAUUUAUAUAUGCAGGCUGGGAGAGGUCUGGCAUUAUCGUAUCCAAGAAAGCCUAACAUCCAGCGAAUAAGCCAUCUAUAUGCAACGGCUUUUGAAAAUCUGCAAGAAAGUUAAGAUGCUUUGUAGAAUUAUCAAGAGGUUUCUUGACCGAACAUUUAGUUUAAUCAAGGAAAAAUUGCUUUAUGUACAAUGAAUUGAAGA